rnacentral:rRNA from 1 species
UCGGCUUAGAGUUUGAUCAUGGCUCAGGACGAACGCUGGCGGCGUGCCUAAUACAUGCAAGUCGAACGCACCGAAGCUUGCUUUGGUGAGUGGCGGACGGGUGAGUAACACGUGGGUAACCUGCCUAUCAGAGGGGGAUAACACUUGGAAACAGGUGCUAAUACCGCAUAGAUUUUUUUCGCAUGAACGAAGAGGAAAGACGUUCGUGUCACUGAUAGAUGGACCCGCGGUGCAUUAGCUAGAUGGUGAGGUAACGGCUCACCAUGGCCAUGAUGCAUAGCCGACCUGAGAGGGUGAUCGGCCACACUGGGACUGAGACACGGCCCAGACUCCUACGGGAGGCAGCAGUAGGGAAUCUUCGGCAAUGGACGAAAGUCUGACCGAGCAACGCCGCGUGAGUGAAGAAGGUUUUCGGAUCGUAAAACUCUGUUGUUAGAGAAGAACGAGUGGGAGGUAAUUCCUGCUGUGACGGUAUCUAACCAGAAAGCCACGGCUAACUACGUGCCAGCAGCCGCGGUAAUACGUAGUGGCAAGCGUUGUCCGGAUUUAUUGGGCGUAAAGCGAGCGCAGGUUUCUUAAGUCUGAUGUGAAAGCCCCCGCUAACGGGGAGGGUCAUGGAA